CCAACGGCUCUUUUCAGAGCCACCCACUUUCUUACCAAAGAGCUG
rfam:Pterocles gutturalis contig83098, whole genome shotgun sequence.